AGAGUUGUAUCCUGGCUCAGGACGAACGCUGGCGGCGUGCUUAACACAUGCAAGUCGAGCGAUGAAGUUCCUUCGGGAAUGGAUUAGCGGCGGACGGGUGAGUAACACGUGGGUAACCUGCCUCAUAGAGGGGAAUAGCCUUUCGAAAGGAAGAUUAAUACCGCAUAAGAUUGUAGUAUCGCAUGAUAUAGCAAUUAAAGGAGUAAUCCGCUAUGAGAUGGACCCGCGUCGCAUUAGCUAGUUGGUGAGGUAACGGCUCACCAAGGCGACGAUGCGUAGCCGACCUGAGAGGGUGAUCGGCCACAUUGGGACUGAGACACGGCCCAGACUCCUACGGGAGGCAGCAGUGGGGAAUAUUGCACAAUGGGGGAAACCCUGAUGCAGCAACGCCGCGUGAGUGAUGACGGUCUUCGGAUUGUAAAACUCUGUCUUCAGGGACGAUAAUGACGGUACCUGAGGAGGAAGCCACGGCUAACUACGUGCCAGCAGCCGCGGUAAUACGUAGGUGGCAAGCGUUGUCCGGAUUUACUGGGCGUAAAGGGAGCGUAGGUGGAUAUUUAAGUGGGAUGUGA
rnacentral:rRNA from 1 species